GCUCUCCUCAAGAAAGCUAAGGAUUUCUGCACUGAACAUGAGAUAGUUGCUGAGACUAUGACACAAAUGGGAGAUCCCAAGGA